rnacentral:misc_RNA from 1 species
GCAAACUACUUAGGCGGAGUUAAAUAUAUUAUAUUAAAUAAAAUUAAAAAUAAAUUAUACUGCAUAAAUAUAAUUCACGUUAAUUUGUGUGCAGUGAAUUAAAUUGGAUCAAAUUAGCAUACCAAUUAAGACUAUUCCUACGAAUCCUCCAUUUCACUAAGUGGUGUACUGUUUAUCACGUGCCCAUACCAUGACUGGACGUUAUAGCGUUCCAGGUAACCAUGGAUCAAACUAAAGGGGGUUGAGUGUGAGAGCAGUUGUGUAUGAACAAUAUGUGGAGCAUGAAAUUUGUGGGGAGUUUUUUUCGACUUUAAAUACAAAAAUUGGUGGCGGAGAACUGUUGCUCCAAUUGUUUGUGAAAAAUUAAAUGUGUAUUGUUUUCUGAGCUUUUUGUCAAAUGGAUAGGUCUCUGCUUAGAGAGAGAGAGUAUUUUUCAGUUUAGUAUCAUUAAAAUUGUUGUUGUCUCAUCUUGAACGUGGAAAUAUUUGAUUCCAUGGCAUUGCCCUUGCUCCACUUAUCUCUAUAAAUACAUUUCCAUUUUCUAUUAUUUGUUUUAAAGGGUUAAGUUGUUCCUUUCCACCACUAAGCAUGAAAGCAGACUCGGUGUAUGUGCUGCUGUGAAUAAAUGCAAUGUAAAAAUUCUGAUGUUGAUAUUUUAGCGUCAACAGGGGGAUGAUGAUUCUGAACAGCAUGUUGAAUUUGCUGGCAGUAAUGUGCACCUCAUUACUGCCACAGAGGUCUGGGACCAGAAGGUGUCAGAAGCUAAUAAGGAUGGCAAAACUGUGAGUUUUACAUUGACUUCAUUUAUAGAACGUAAUGGACAUUAUUGGAACAUUUUAUGGGGCUCAUUGCACCAUGAUUGAUUGUCAUCUAUAUUGUGGACAUCUUGUGAUGGGACUGUGAAGGCCUUUGCUUUUAGAAAAUGUGAGAUGGUAACCUUCCAAGCAGUUAAAUUUAGGAACCAAAAUAAGAGAACUAGUAUGCUCAUUCUAAAUUUCCUUAGCAUUUGUCUCCCACCAAGAUGAUGAAUGCUUGCUUGCUUGCAGCUAUUGCACGAGCAAUUUUUUAAAUUGCUGCUGAAUUAAAAGUUUAUUUGAUCUGUUUGAUAAGUAUUAUUCUAUAAUGUAUUUUCAAUCUUUUACUGAAGAUAGAUGUUUCAGGUUUUGGUGAAUUUCAGCGCAACAUGGUGUGGUCCUUGUAGAAUGAUUGCACCAUUCUACCGUGAGUUGUCUGAGAAAUACCCUUCUCUGAUGUUCCUGUUGGUUGAUGUUGAUGAACUACCUGAAUUCAGCAGUUCAUGGGAUAUCAAAGCUACUCCGACCUUUUUCUUUCUAAGAGAUGGGAAGCAACUUGACAAGCUUGUUGGGGCCAACAAGCCAGAGCUACAGAAGAAGAUAACUGCUAUUGUAGACUCAGUGGCUGAUUGUGACAAAUGAAUUUUGUGGUGGUUCAUGUAUUUGAGAACACAGCAAUUAGCAUCUUUAUCCAUUGUGUUCUUAGUACUAUGGUUGUUAAUUGUGAGCCUUUGUCUGUAGAUUUGGCCUGUCUUGUAAAUACGGCUACAUGAAAAUUUUGGAAUGCGUAAACUGUGAAUGUGCAAUUCCACUGUAUUCUUCUACUAACAUUGCUCUGGAAAUUUAAAAUUUCUUCUCAUUUUUCAUGUCUAC